rnacentral:rRNA from 1 species
GAAGAGGAGCUUGCUCCUUGGAUCAGUGGCGAACGGGUGAGUAACACGUGAGCAAUCUGCCCUUGACUCUGGGAUAACUGCGGGAAACUGUAGCUAAUACCGGAUAUUACCUUGGAAGGCAUCUUCUGGGGUGGAAAGAAUUUUGGUCAAGGAUGAGCUCGCGGCCUAUCAGCUAGUUGGUGAGGUAAUGGCUCACCAAGGCGACGACGGGUAGCCGGCCUGAGAGGGUGACCGGCCACACUGGGACUGAGACACGGCCCAGACUCCUACGGGAGGCAGCAGUGGGGAAUAUUGCACAAUGGGCGCAAGCCUGAUGCAGCAACGCCGCGUGAGGGACGACGGCCUUCGGGUUGUAAACCUCUUUUAGUAGGGAAGAAGCGACUGGGUUUUCCUGGGAGUGACGGUACCUGCAGAAAAAGCACCGGCUAACUACGUGCCAGCAGCCGCGGUAAUACGUAGGGUGCAAGCGUUGUCCGGAAUUAUUGGGCGUAAAGAGCUCGUAGGCGGUUUGUCGCGUCUGCUGUGAAAACCCGAGGCUCAACCUCGGGCCUGCAGUGGGUACGGGCAGACUAGAGUGCGGUAGGGGAGAUUGGAAUUCCUGGUGUAGCGGUGGAAUGCGCAGAUAUCAGGAGGAACACCAAUGGCGAAGGCAGAUCUCUGGGCCGUAACUGACGCUGAGGAGCGAAAGCAUGGGGAGCGAACAGGAUUAGAUACCCUGGUAGUCCAUGCCGUAAACGUUGGGAACUAGAUGUGGGGACCAUUCCACGGUCUCCGUGUCGCAGCUAACGCAUUAAGUUCCCCGCCUGGGGAGUACGGCCGCAAGGCUAAAACUCAAAGGAAUUGACGGGGGCCCGCACAAGCGGCGGAGCAUGCGGAUUAAUUCGAUGCAACGCGAAGAACCUUACCAAGGCUUGACAUAUACCGGUAACGCCUGGAAACAGGUGCCCCGCAAGGUCGGUAUACAGGUGGUGCAUGGUUGUCGUCAGCUCGUGUCGUGAGAUGUUGGGUUAAGUCCCGCAACGAGCGCAACCCUCGUCCUAUGUUGCCAGCACGUAAUGGUGGGAACUCAUGGGAUACUGCCGGGGUCAACUCGGAGGAAGGUGGGGAUGACGUCAAAUCAUCAUGCCCCUUAUGUCUUGGGCUUCACGCAUGCUACAAUGGCCGGUACAAAGGGCUGCGAUACCGCAAGGUGGAGCGAAUCCCAAAAAGCCGGUCUCAGUUCGGAUUGAGGUCUGCAACUCGACCUCAUGAAGUCGGAGUCGCUAGUAAUCGCAGAUCAGCAACGCUGCGGUGAAUACGUUCCCGGGCCUUGUACACACCGCCCGUCAAGUCAUGAAAGUCGGUAACACCCGAAGCCAGUGGCCGAACCCGUAAGGGACGGAG